rnacentral:rRNA from 1 species
UAAGGAAUAUUGGACAAUGGGGGCAACCCUGAUCCAGCCAUGCCGCGUGAAGGAUUAAGGCCCUAUGGGUCGUAAACUUCUUUUAUACGGGAAAAAUAUCCUGCUCGUGAGCAGGAUUGAUGGUACCGUAAGAAUAAGGGUCGGCUAACUUCGUGCCAGCAGCCGCGGUAAUACGAAGGACCCGAGCGUUAUCCGGAUUUAUUGGGUUUAAAGGGUGCGUAGGUGGACUAAUAAGUCAGUGGUGAAAGCCUGCAGCUUAACUGCAGAACUGCCAUUGAUACUGUUAGUCUUGAGUACAAUUGAAGUGGGCGGAAUGUGUCAUGUAGCGGUGAAAUGCUUAGAUAUGACACAGAACACCAAUUGCGAAGGCAGCUCACUAAACUGUAACUGACACUGAGGCACGAAAGCGUGGGUAGCAAACAGGAUUAGAUACCCCUGUAGUCC